AAUAUGGGGUGACAAACAGUGUGGUCGGUUUAUCGAUUGGGCUAGGUUUUCUUAUGCAGCUUGAAGAGGAGAGAGAGAGAGAGCCGUGGCUGACCACAAGAGCAAGAGAUGGAAGUUGAAGAAUUGGAAGGCCAUACUUAUGAAUGAUUUUAAAGAAAUUCACUCUAGCGAAAGUGGGCUAAACACUUGUAAUCGGUGCUUCCAGGUUAUGCCAUCUCCACAGGUAUAUACUAACAGUUCAGCACUGAUUACUGAACAAUCUGAUGAGGAAGAUGAUGUUUAAAACCUCAUAGAAAAAGGCAAAAAUGCUUCACCAUCUUUGGUGCAAUGCUGAUGAAAAAGAUAUGCUUGAGCACCAUCUUGCUGAGAAAUCAGACACAUCCUCUCACUCGUCAAGGAGAACCAAUUAAAAGGAACGUUAUAAUGUGGUUUCAAACACAAUGAUUUGGUUACAAGUCAUGUCUUGGAUGAGAAAUUUGUGAAUCAUUUAGCCUCCUUUUCACAUGUAUGCAUUUUGGCCACAGUUUCACAUAUCAAGGGAGAAUGGAAGUCCUAGGUUUCUCAUUAACAUUGUAAUUUGGAUGAGAAUUUGAUUGUGAACAUUUUAGCCUUUGUCA